rnacentral:rRNA from 1 species
GACGAACGCUGGCGGCGUGCUUAACACAUGCAAGUCGUGCGGUAAGGCCCUUUCGGGGGUACACGAGCGGCGACCGGGUGAGUAACACUUAAGCAACCUGCCCUUCCCUUUGGGAUAAGUGUCGGAAACGGUGGCCAAUGCCGGUAAUGACUUCUUCACUCAUGCGCGGUGGUGGAAAGCCUACGGGUGGUAUGGGGUGGGCUCGAGGUUUAUCCGCUUGUUGGUGGGGUGAUGGUCUACCAAGGCUUUGACGGGUCGACGACAUGGGAGGGGGGACGGGGACAAUAGGCCUGAGAGACGGCCCAGACUUCUACGUGAGGCAGUAGUGGGGAAUAUUGCACAAUGGGCGAACGCGUGUUCCAGCAAUCCCCCGUGCGUGAUGACGUCCUACGGGUUGUAAACCUCUGUCGCCUGAGACGAAGCGAGAGUGACGGUAGCAGGUAAAGAAGCAACGGCUAACUACGUG